rnacentral:snoRNA from 1 species
UUGCAUUCUCAAACCCCUCUGGUAGCUUUGCUGUCAUAGCUUCCAGGAUAAGAAUGAAUGCAAGAAAAAGCUGAAGAUCUAUCCAAAAUGUGGAGCUAGUUUCCUGUGGCUCUUCAUUAUUUCAUGUCUUCAACAACAGUUU